UGUUUUGAGGAGACUCUGUCUGGUGUGUUUGAUAUUACAGUUUAUGGUGCUUUUCUUCCUCGACAUAUCUUUUAUCGGCUUCAUGCAGUAUGUGCUUACUUGCGGUGCAUGUUUGUUGCUCUCUGCUUGUUGUUUAUGUGGCCUUCAUUUGAUAUAAUUCUAGCAGAUCAAGUCUCUGUUGUUGUUCCGAUAUUGAAGUUAAAGAAGUCUGCUAAGGUUGUAUUCUAUUGCCAUUUUCCAGAUCUUUUGCUGGCGCAACGUACAACUAUUCUUAGGAGGAUAUAUCGGAAACCUAUUGACUUCAUAGAAGAAAUAACAACAGGAAUGGCAGAUUUGAUUCUGGUUAACAGCAGGUUUACAGCAUCUACUUUUGCAUCAACCUUCAAGAACCUAGAUGCACGUGGGAUUAAACCAGCUGUUUUGUAUCCAGCUGUCAAUGUUGAUCAGUUUGAGAAACCUGAUGCCAUCAAGCUGAAAUUUCUAUCCAUCAAUCGAUUUGAGAGAAAAAAAGAACAUAGAAUUGGCAAUAUCUGCCUUUGCCAUGGUUCACGCCCAUCAAGUCCAUGAUCAUCAAGGAGUUAACAUGAAUGAUGUUUCCUUGACUGUUGCAGGAGGCUUUGAUAAUCGCCUUAGAGAGAAUGUCGAGUAUCUAGAAGAACUGAAAAAGUUGGCAGAAAGGGAAGGUGUUUCUCAGCGUGUCAGAUUCAUCACAUCUUGCUCUACUGCUGAGAGAAAUGCACUCCUUGGCCAAUGCCUAUGUGUUCUUUAUACACCAAAGGAUGAGCAUUUUGGUAUUGUUCCUUUGGAAGCAAUGGCAGCCUAUAAACCUGUUAUUGCCUGCAAUAGUGGGGGUCCAGUGGAGACAGUAAAACAUGGCGUGACGGGCUUCCUCUGUGACCCUAGCCCACGAGAGUUUGCUUCAGCAAUGUCUAAUUUUAUUCAGGAUCCUCACAUGUCUGAAAAAAUGGGGCAAG
rnacentral:misc_RNA from 1 species